ensembl:lncRNA
AUGAGACAGACAGAUGAGGCUGCUAUUCUCCUGGGGCUUCCAUCCUACCCAAGGGGAGACACAAACAGCAAAUGCAAUUAUUAGGGCUGUCGAUGAGCUUAACUUGAAAGGUGGCAAGAAAAAAUGACUUCAUAGUUUUCCUACCUUUGUUCUUGGAACCUGAUUCUUGGACUAUUCAUCCUUGUUCCAUGGAUGACAACUUGGGCUGGUCGCAUAAAUUCCCAAUCAUUUCAGUUACAAGAAGAAUCUCCAAAUAUUUGAAAGACACUGUUCUAAGAUAAAACAAGCUACCCCAAGGAGGCAGGUAUUAUGGCUCCCAUUUUACUUAUGAAGAAACAGAAGCACAAACAAGAUAAAGGAAUUGACUGAAAAUGAAGCUGAUCCAUAUUUGGAGGUGUCUGAAGCCAUGUGCCUCACUCUUGCCACAGAGCCGGGGCCUUUUGUGCGAACUUCUUUCCUUGCUGAGACCUUCUAGAAGCUCCAGUCCCAGGCCCCCGUCAUCGUCAUCCUGUGCCCUUUACGCUGCCCUGUGCUGGAGCCAGGCUGUGAUCCACGUAGAAUAGGGCAGCCCUUCUCCCCAGCAGCCCUUCUGUCUUCCAGGUCACCUGCAGACCAAGCUCCCUUUCUUUCUUCAAUCAGUUUCUGGACAACAACAUUGAAGGCUGAGAGCACAAGAUGGAGCUUGGCUGCUGUCCUCACCAAUAGGACUAUCUCAGUCCUUCCAUCACAGGGCUGAUGAGGAGGGGUCUUCGGCCACAUUUCUCAGAUUCAAGAUCUGAUUUGGAGGCAGGACCAAGAGAAUGAUUCCAUGGACACGUAUGUGUGUGUACAGUUAAAAGAUCCUGAGACUCCAGUGUAUGACCUUUUCCAAGCUUUGCUUGCCUGGCUGGCAGUCAGGUUACUAUGGGUCAGGGCCUGGAGGCUUCAUCGGCUGUUUUCCCCUGGGGGACAGAAUGAGACCUCAUAAUGAAAAACUGGUGGAGACACAGCCUAGGUUUACACAGUCUUAGAUUAAUUCCACAGCCUGAAUAAUCUGGAGGAAAAGGUGAACUAGAUCAGAGAAAGUCCUAACACUCUAAGAGGAAAUGCAUGGAAUCUAUGCAAGCAAGCACAGAAAAAUAAGCUUUACAUCCAAAUAAACAAGGAAAAAUUUUGAAGGGUAAAACGACAAAUUCAAUCAACUGCACAGUGGCUUCAUGAAGGACAAGCAUGUGUCUUCCAAGGAGGUCUGGUCCUCUUCACCCUAGAUUCCAUGAAGAUCAAACUCCAAGCUGUGUUCAAAUGAGGGAUAGUUGGCAUCAGUGAACUUCCUCUUCAUCUCUUCUUGCAUCCCACUUCCAGUAGUUUGAGCUUGUCUAGGAUCUAAAUAGAUUUUUACCCUAAAUCACUAGAUAAAUGUGUUAUUCAUUGCUCUCCGGCUGUGUACACACACACACACACACACACACACACACACACACACGUCACAAUUUCUGAACAACAUGCACAAUGUAAUCAAAUGAUUCCUAUUCUGUCAAAUCAUUUAUUUGGAAACAUUACUUGAAAAUUAAUUGUAUGGGUUGUUUUUUUUUAAACUUUAUGACUGGCUUAAUGACUAAAAGAUGGAGGUAACAAGAUAGCAUUUUAACUUUCAAAAUUAAGCAAUAACAUUAGCUCUAUACAGUCAGACUAUUAGAGCAAAUGAGCAAACAAAUAUAUCUUCACAGGUGGCUUAUUUGUCUAUAAGCCUCUCACUUCUGAUGUUUCAUUCAUACUACCUUUCAGGCCACAGUUUCAAGGGAGGUCAGUGUUCAUCUAAUCCGUUAUAUAAUACAAGCUGCCUCUGUUUGGGAGAAGGUUGGUUCACUGGUAAUUGUUAAGCCACUUUCUAAGAUCUGUGUGUGUUCAAAAAUGAGAAAGAAGUCACUGGACACUGGUGGGAACUCAAUCUUCUAUACCAAUCCUCCACUUAAAUAAUAUUCAUCUGCUUCUGGCCCUUCCUCGGUCAUGCCUUGGGUUUUUUCACCUCUGCAUAUUUGCUGACCCAAGUUCACCACUUAGGACCCUCCAUUCCUCUCCAUCUAUUCCUCUUGCUCCCACCUAGCCUUCCAGGCCCUGUGAAAACCCCACCGCCUUUGCAAAGUGCCCUGACCACACUAACCUGACUUGAUGGCUUCCUCUUUUGGGGUCUCUACUUUGGCCCUUUAUUGCUUAGAUUGUUUAUUGUUUUUUUAUGUCCGUCAGUCCAAUUUCCCUACUAGAUGUAGAUAGAUGAAUAUCAAAGAUGUUAAAGCAGGUGAUCAUCUACUCCAAAUUUCUCAGUCUUCAGACUCCUAAUCCAGUGCUCUUUUGACUGUGUCAUGCUAUACCUUAUUAAUUUUACUAUGCCCAUUAGCUUUUGAGAGCAAUGAUUUAUAAAAUUACUGAGUCAUUAUUUAUUUGUCAUUAAGCAAAUAUUCAUUGAGUGUCUAGUAGGUGCCAGGCUCCAUUCUAGGUACUGGAGAUACAGUAGUGACAUUGAUAGAGUGACCUUGUCCACUCUCUCAAAGGGCAUGCAUUUUGGUGGAAGACACAUAAAAUAAACAAAUUUAGACAGUAAUAAAUGCUAUAUGUACAACUGAAGAGGAUACCUAGGGUGGUAGGCUAGAGAGAGAUGGUGGUGAGAGGAGGAUGCUACUGUAGCUAAGGUGGUCAGCAGAGGCCCCGCCGAGGAGAUGGCAUUUGAGUUGGGAUCUGAGUGAUGAGUUGGGAGUGGUCUUGGGGGCGUCUGCGAGAAGAAUGUUUCAUGUGGAGUGAAGAGCAAGUGCCAAGGGCUUAUGUCAGAGUGAUCUUGGUGUGUUAGAAGAGAAAAAUAUGUGUGUGGCUGGAGGGAGGUCAGCAAGAGGAAGAAGAGCAGAAGUGGUGAGAGAUGUGGAGGUAGCUGGGCCCAGAACAUGCAUGACCUCUAUAUGCCAAGUUAAGAGUUUGCAGAUCCUUCUCGGAGGAAGUAGGGGGCCCAGGAAGGCUUGAUAUAGGGAAGGGACAUUAUAUGAGACACAUUUGAAGCUGAUGACCCUAGCUUUCAGGGGGAGGGGUUUUUUCCCCUUUUUUUCUUUAUCUUUCUUUUGCUUUUGCUUUUAUUUCUUUGGGGGGUAUACUAUACACAAAGCGCACACAUCUUAACUGUCCAGCUGCAUGAAUUUUUCCUAAUGUAUAUACCCAUGUAACUACACCCAUAGUAAGAUAGAGAACAAUCCCAGCGCACCCCAGAGGGCUCUGUCACGUCCUGCUCAGUCAUUGUCUCCACCACUAUUCAGAUGACUUCUAUCAGCACAGAUUAGUUUUGCGUAUUUUUGAAUAAAAUGUAAGUGAAAUCAUAUGGUAUGUACUUUUUUGUUUGUGGGAAGUACUGCUAUGUAACAGUCUAUGGAAUGAAUCUCACUAUUUAUCUUACUAUUGAUGGACCUUUGGGAUGUUUCCAAUUUGGGGCUUUUAUGAAUAAAGCUUCUAUGAACAUCUUUGCACAUGCCUUUUGGUGGACAUCUAAGCUCAUUUAGGUUGGAAUAUACCCAGUAGUGGAAUUGCUGGGUCUUAGGACUUAUAUUUUUAGUAGAUACCACCAGUUUUCCAAAGUGGUUGCACCAAUUCACACUCCCACUAAAAAUGCAUGAGAAUUCUAAUUUCUUCCCAUUAUUACAAAUGCUUGGUAUUAUCAGUCCUUUUAAUUCUAGCCAUUCUGGUGGGAGUGUAGUGGGUGGGGUUCUCAUUAUGAUUUUUUGUGGAGGAGGGGUAGCGGUUGUUUCUCAUAGAUGCUUGUGAUUAUGCUGUUGAUUGUAUGGUUUGGUUUUAAGAGUUUGGUUUUCAGCCUUCCUGGCUUGCAUUCCCUAUUUCCCACACACAUUAUUUUCUUUCCCCUUGCAAUACCCCCAAGAGCAGUAUAGAAGCCAAGCAUGCUGAUAUGACAUCAUCAGUUCAUUGUCUUUCAGGAAUGUGAUAUUUCAUCUUUUAUAGGGUGACCCUAUUCCAGAUAGAAGGGAAAAUAGAAAACAGGGCUUAGAACUUGAAAGAGAAAAUUUGGGUCAGACUCCAGCUUAAUGCAGUUUCCAUUCUUGGAGCCAAAAGGCCGUCUAGUCAAUGCACAAAGGGAGUCGCUGGAGGAGUGGGGACUGUUGGUUUCAUUACACGCUCAUUAUACCACUGCAUCAGGGUGUCUAGGAUUUUGCGCUAAUGAUGAAAUUAAGGGUGUUAUGCUUCAUUUCCUGUUUCGGAAAACAGAGUCUUUGGCUUAAAAAAAGGCUAAUUGCAUAUUGUUUUAAAAAAUUGGGUUGAUAAUUCAUCAUAUCAUAAUUAAACUAAUUAGAAUACUAUUAUUUUCCAACAACUUUAAUGAGGUCUUCCACUUGGCAAGGAACCUGUGAGACCAAAAACUAUUGCCAUUUGUUAAAAGAUGGAGAAACUCUGAUGACAAACGACUCUAUUCAGCUGCCUUUUGGUUAAUAAGAUUUAUGCAUUAAUCUAGUUAUACUUUGUUCCCUCGAAUUUGGCAAACUUCUGAAGUUUUCCAAUUUUCCUACUGUGUCUCUCCUGCUCCCCACCCCCAUCUCCUCCUUAGAGAAUUCCUGGCGUCUGAGUUAAAAUAGGUGGAAACAUUCUCUGUUUCCAGCCGAGGCUCCCCAGCUUGGUUGGAAUGCUCGUCUGGUUGUAAUAGAGCCUGCUUUUCGGCCAGCAACUCUUAAAAUAGCUCCUUGGCUUAUGAAGCAGAAAAUAGAAGUUUGGGCAGAUCAGUGUCUGCUUACAGGACGUUUCUGGCUGCUUGCUUUGGGGGGCACUGUUGCUCCAGCUUGAGAACUCCAGUGGGGCUCUGGUGAGUGAUGGCUCUCCGUUGCGCAAUUUUGUAUCUGCACUCUUGUCAAGUAAUCAUUACAAAUGUUUCGUGGAGGAACAAGUUGGCUCUGAGCAAAGGUCUACCCCUCCGAAGAAGUGAGGGCCUGAGGGGUGGGCACUGGUCUGUCCGUGGUGAAAUUUUCCCUUUGACAGUGUAAUUAAGUGCUAAUUAACUAAAUGAGUGUAAAUGUUGAAGGCUGAGAUAAAUAUCUACAUUUUCUUAAUCUAUUUUUCCCCUCUAAAAUUUGAUAAAGGAAAUUUGGAGUUAAUGGAGGAUAUAUGUCAAAUUUUUUUUUUUUUUAAGAUUGCAAAUCUGUUUAGAAGGAACUCAGAUUCACUGGUUUGGAUUUCCACAGGAAAAGUUAGCAGCAUAUAAAUAUAGAAGAGGUACAAUAAAAUGCGCAUGUGAGAUUGCACUAAUUAUGUUAAGAAGGCUUAGUGGAGCUACCUUUUUGCAACAUCUGGUUUUUUUCUGGUCUUUCCACAUCCUGCAGAUGUUGCUGAACACAUGAAAUAUACUGACAGGAGAAUACAUUAGCUCACGAAGUCAUUCCAAUGAAUAGAGCAAAGAGUAGCCUCUUAACUUUCUAAAAAAUCUAGUUAGAAAAGAAUUCUGCUUUCAGAGCAGGCAGAGAUUAGGCCAAUAAUUGAGAGGGGCCCAGGGCCUUCUAAAAGUGUCAAUAGUGAUCUGUUCUUGCCAAAGGAGAAAAGAGAUGCUUUGUGGAGGGGCAGCCAGAGUAAUAAAUGGGAAUCUUUGUAAUUCAAGUAGUUUCUCAUUACCUUCUGUGGUUAGUGAUUAAAAAUAGGGCUGAAGAAGGGGCGAGGGAAUCCUACUCCUUGUGCAAUCAGUCGGUCAGUCAGUCAGUCAUAGAGCUAAAGGCUCCUGAUCCAUCUUGAGUUCAGCUCCUAGGCCUCUCCUCCUGGCCUCUGGAGCCCAAAGAGAGACCCAGAGGCACAGAUAGACUGCUCAUGCGGCUGAGGCAAGCGCCUUGGGAAGGUGAUAUGUAAUUGAGGCACCAUCUGUGGCAUGGGGCUGAUGACAGCUGCACGAUGCCCUGACAUCCCUGUGUCAACACCCUCCCCGGGCAGGAAAAGACAGGGGCAGGCACUUGUAUGCUGAGCCUUUGGGAGAGCAGACACAGGCAUCCCUGAAAGGGAAGGCCUGGGGAGUUUGAGUUUAUUAAAUAGGAAUUGGUUGCCUAUGAGAUUAACACCCUGAAAUAAAUGCAAACUUAAGAAAUAUUUUGGCCUCCAGCCCACUUGGCAGGAGGAUUAGGAACCUGGAAUGGUCAGAAGGACAAAGCCUUAAAGGGCCAAUGUCACAUUUAGUUUCUGGCCGGCUGUGAUCUCUAAAUUUCCCCACCAUUUACAUCACUCCUUUGGGUUAUGGCAUCAUGUGUCCAGAAGACCCCUAUUAAAAUGUGUAACAGAUGUUUUUCUGGCCACCAGCCUGGUGGACAAGAAGUACACACUCAUAUAAACUCAUCUACGAGAAACUAGGAUUUCUCUGAUUCAGCUCUGAAUCAUUGAACUCCAGUUACUGACAUCCAGUCCUAUUUGCCUGCUUCCCUCCGGAGCAAAGGGAUAAAUCUCUGGGAUGUCUCACAAAAGAUUAUUCUUGCAUGUUCUCAUACGGUUUCCGACUUCCUUCGGGUCAUCGAAGAGGGGUCUCUGCUGCUUGCCUUUCAUUUCAGCAACAAUUUUGUGUAUGGUUCCACCAGGCACGUAGCUCCUGGCUGCACCAUUUCCCCUUGCCCCUGGGUCAGAGGAGAAAUUGCUUGUUGAAAUUAUGCAAGAACUCUGCCUCCUCAGAGAGUGAUUUCAGAUCCCCCCAACCUUUCUCUCCACCGGGGUUAUACCUCCCUUCUCCUUUUCUUUUGCAACCAGCUAGUUUCUGUUUUUGAUUCUUCAGCCAUAUUUCCCUAUGCUCAAUUGACAGAUUAAACCCCAAAUGACUAGUUUUUAAUCCUCUUUGGGAAUUUUUGACACUAACGUAAAUGCUUUACUUGAGGAAAGAGGUUUAGCAUCAUUGUCAUUAUCAUCAUCGUAAUUUUUAGCAUUUAUACCACUUUCUGGAGUGAAUGACAUGCUUUCCCAUCUAUUAUUUCUGCUGAUGCUCCAAGCACUACUGGUAUAGGCAGGCCAGAAAUUACAAUGUUGAGAUUAUAGGUGAAGCAAUCAAUGCUCACAGAAAGUAAAGCUAUUGGUUCAAGAUCACGCAGCCAGUGAAACGGGGAUUCAAUCCAUUUUAGAUUCCAAGUUUAGUACUUUUCCUGGGCAUAGUGAGCCCUUAUUAAUACUUUAACAUGGUGGAAGUUUAAAAAGAUAGUCCAUAGAAUGGGAAUGUUUGUGUAGGGCAAGAAUACAAGAAUAAAAGAAAGCAGGCGAUCUACACAGAAAUAGAGAUAUGGAGUCACCACUACUUUUCCGUAAAAUGUGUACUGCAAGAUUUUAAUAGGUGUAUUCUUAGGAAAAGGGUUCCACAGCCAAACAGGCUUACUAAAUAUUCAAUUAAAUAAAGUCAUGAAAAUUUCUUCAUUACAGCACUCUCAGAGCCUUUGACACGCAUUAUGAAUUCCCAAGGCAGGGAGCAGAUGUACUAUGAGCAGUUUGUAAACAUGCUUGACACAGCGCCCUUCUUGACUGAAGCAUCUCAUGAGAAUACAUGUGGGAGGGAGCUGGUCAGAAACACCAUCAUGUACUCCCUGAGAAGAUCUUCAACUGUCACCCCUAGUCUACUGAAUCCAUAUUUUGCCAUAAUUUUGGCUACUCUCAUGUUGGCCCUGAUCAUCAUUGGAGUCCCAGGAAUUUCAAACUCUGCUUCAAGAGAAAUGUGGACACCUUGGGGAAAAUUAACAGACUUUCAUGGUCAUAGAGCAUCUACUCCUUUCAGAAUGCCAGCAAAUGCACACAAGAGCUCCCAAACACUUCUUACAAUCAGGGGCAAGAUGCCCUUCCAUGCACCAAAAACCAAGGUGGAAAAGCUCCUGCCAACCUGAGCAGCACAAGGCAGAGGGGAGGCAGCGGCUGACCUCCUGGGCAACCUGCAAUGACAACCUGACAGCAGACCGGCUGGACUCUCCAGACUGCCGCCAGAUAUGUCACGGGAUGCUUCUCAGGCUCAAGAAUUUAAUAUUCUUUACAGAAAAUAAAGAGUUGGAUUCUGA